rnacentral:lncRNA from 1 species
UGGGUUCUGGUUGUCUGAUUAAAAAUACUACUUAAACACAAGUACAAAUAUAGUAAUAGUUUUCCCAGUGGAACUGGUUGUCUGAUUAAAUAUCCAACUGAAAUACGCAUACAGAUAUAGUAAUAGUUGAACCUAGUGGAACUGGUUGUCUGAUUUCAAAUACAACUUAAAUAAGCAAAGGGCAAUAAACAAACAAAUCUCCAAGUCAAGUCAUAGGCUCAGGAACUUCAGGCUGCAACCACUUCUCCAAGUUAAUUCCAGGCUGAGACUUGUUGUUUUUCUUUCUCUUUCGACGUCGUUCUCCUGUGGAUGCAAACCGUGUUUCUUGAUUN